rnacentral:rRNA from 1 species
GAUGAACGCUGGCGGAGUGCCUAAUACAUGCAAGUCGAGCGAACAGACGAGGAGCUUGCUCCUCUGACGUUAGCGGCGGACGGGUGAGUAACACGUGGAUAACCUACCUAUAAGACUGGGAUAACUUCGGGAAACCGGAGCUAAUACCGGAUAAUAUAUUGAACCGCAUGGUUCAAUAGUGAAAGACGGUUUUGCUGUCACUUAUAGAUGGAUCCGCGCCGCAUUAGCUAGUUGGUAAGGUAACGGCUUACCAAGGCGACGAUGCGUAGCCGACCUGAGAGGGUGAUCGGCCACACUGGAACUGAGACACGGUCCAGACUCCUACGGGAGGCAGCAGUAGGGAAUCUUCCGCAAUGGGCGAAAGCCUGACGGAGCAACGCCGCGUGAGUGAUGAAGGUCUUCGGACCGUAAAACUCUGUUAUUAGGGAAGAACAAAUGUGUAAGUAACUAUGCACGUCUUGACGGUACCUAAUCAGAAAGCCACGGCUAACUACGUG